rnacentral:rRNA from 1 species
CCUACGGGGGGCAGCAGUCGAGAAUCAUUCACAAUGGGGGAAACCCUGAUGGUGCGACGCCGCGUGGGUGAAUGAAGGUCUUCGGAUUGUAAACCCCUGUCAUGUGGGAGCAAAUUAAAAAGAUAGUACCACAAGAGGAAGAGACGGCUAACUCUGUGCCAGCAGCCGCGGUAAUACAGAGGGCUCAAGCGUUGUUCGGAAUCACUGGGCGUAAGGCGUGCGUAGGCUGUUUCGUAAGUCGUGUGUGAAAGGCGCGGGCUCAACCCGCGGACGGCACAUGAUACUGCGAGACUAGAGUAAUGGAGGGGGAACCGGAAUUCUCGGUGGAGCAGUGAAAUGCGUAGAUAUCGAGAGGAACACUCGGGGCGAAGGCGGGUUACUGGACAUUAACUGACGCUGAGGCACGAAGGCCAGGGGAGCGAAAGGGAUUAGAUACCCCAGUAGUC